rnacentral:rRNA from 1 species
GGGGAAGGCUCGUCCUCCCAGGGUUAGUCGGGACCUAAGCCGAGGCCGAGAGGCGUAGGCGAUGGAUAACAGGUUGAGAUUCCUGUACUGGUUUGAUUUGUUUGAACGAUGGAGGGACGCAGGAGGCUAGAGAUGCGUGCUGUUGGAUAUGCACGUCCAAGCAACAAGUCUGAUGAUGAGUCAAAUGCUUAUCAUCUUAAGGAUAAGUUGUGAUGGGGAGCGAAAUUAAAGUAGCGAAGUGAUCGAUGUCACACUGCCGAGAAAAGCUUCUAGUUAGRAUCAGACCACCCGUACCGCAAACCGACACAGGUAGUCGAGGCGAGUAGCCUAAGGUGAGCGAGAGAACUCUCGUUAAGGAACUCGGCAAAAUGACCCCGUAACUUCGGGAGAAGGGGUGCUGCACGAUGUGCAGCCGCAGUGAAUAGGCCCAGGCGACUGUUUAUCAAAAACACAGGUUUCUGCAAAAUCGUAAGAUGAAGUAUAGGGGCUGACGCCUGCCCGGUGCUGGAAGGUUAAGAGGAUGGGUUAGCGUAAGCGAAGCUCAGAAUUGAAGCCCCAGUAAACGGCGGCCGUAACUAUAACGGUCCUAAGGUAGCGAAAUUCCUUGUCGGGUAAGUUCCGACCCGCACGAAAGGCGUAACGAUCUGGGCACUGUCUCAACGAGAGACUCGGUGAAAUUAUAAUACCCGUGAAGAUGCGGGUU